rnacentral:rRNA from 1 species
GACAGAGGGUGCAAACGUUGUUCGGAAUUACUGGGCGUAAAGCGCGUGUAGGCGGCCUCGCAAGUCGGAUGUGAAAUCCCACGGCUCAACCGUGGAAGUGCAUUCGAAACUGCAGGGCUAGAGUCCUGGAGAGGAAGGUGGAAUGCUUGGUGUAGAGGUGAAAUUCGUAGAUAUCAAGCGGAACACCGGUGGCGAAAGGCGGCCUUCUGGACAGUGACUGACGCUGAGACGCGAAAGCGUGGGAGCAAACAGGG